AUUUGGUUAACUGCUACUCUUCCUAAGUGAAACCAUAUAGGAAAGGGAAUUUGAAAACUGAAUCACUUUAUGAAUAUGCCUGCCCUAAGAAGAGGUAGUAACAAAGCUUAUCAGAGCACAGAAGUAUUGAGGAGGAGCUCCUGGGGCCUGCUUCCCUUAGCCCUUCUGCUGGAGUCCAGGUGCAGAAUCUGUUCCAUAGAGGAAAUCUCUCUGUCAGCAGACAGAGGCAGUAAUGACAUCGUUUUUGUAAUGUCGGCUUGGAAAUCUCAUUGCAGCCUGUUUCAGCAAACGAGAUACGAACACAACAGUGAAAUGAAAGAGCAGCUCAUCAAGAGCACUUUGGGUUCCUGGAGAAACUUCCCACAGUGCAAAAGAGUUUCUAAGCUGUCCUGAAGAAAAAGACAAACUUGGGAGGAGCAGAAGAUCCCUUGCUUGCUGUUGGUCUUCAUUGUCAGAGCCAGUUUCUGGAAGAUCUGAAAUCUCUUCUGACAGACCCACUGGGAUCUCUGGUGGCUUGGCUGCUGAGUAGGCACAUUGAAGAAAAUCAAAAACUAUGUCUUCUGUUUAGGCCUAAAAUAUGGUUGUGUGCUGUGUCCAACCACCAGCUCUCCCGGAAAGUUCCUCUUCAGAGGAGAGACCAUUGAAGCCAAGGAGUGGGAAAUGUGCUGGAGAGGAUGUGCUCCCUUGGGCAAAGCAAAGCAGUGUGCAGCUACUUUUCUGUUUCCUCCUUGUUGGACCCUCU
ensembl:lncRNA